rnacentral:rRNA from 1 species
UUCUUCGGAUUGAAGAUCCAGUGACUGAGUGGCGGACGGGUGAGUAACGCGUGGGUAACCUGCCUCAUACAGGGGGAUAACAGUUAGAAAUGGCUGCUAAUACCGCAUAAGCGCACAGCUUCGCAUGGAGCAGUGUGAAAAACUCCGGUGGUAUGAGAUGGACCCGCGUCAGAUUAGGUAGUUGGUGGGGUAAUGGCCUACCAAGCCGACGAUCUGUAGCCGACCUGAGAGGGUGACCGGCCACAUUGGGACUGAGACACGGCCCAAACUCCUACGGGAGGCAGCAGUGGGGAAUAUUGCACAAUGGGGGAAACCCUGAUGCAGCGACGCCGCGUGAGCGAAGAAGUAUUUCGGUAUGUAAAGCUCUAUCAGCAGGGAAGAUAAUGACGGUACCUGACUAAGAAGCUCCGGCUAAAUACGUGCCAGCAGCCGCGGUAAUACGUAUGGAGCAAGCGUUAUCCGGAUUUACUGGGUGUAAAGGGAGCGUAGACGGUUGUGCAAGUCUGAUGUGAAAUUCCAGGGCUUAACCCUGGACCUGCAUUGGAAACUGUAUAACUAGAGUGUCGGAGAGGUGAGUGGAAUUCCUAGUGUAGCGGUGAAAUGCGUAGAUAUUAGGAGGAACACCAGUGGCGAAGGCGGCUCACUGGACGAUAACUGACGUUGAGGCUC